rnacentral:rRNA from 1 species
AAGCACUUGCUUGGUAAAUGGCUAUACAAAUUGCUUAACGAGGAAGGUGUAUGGCAAGAGCUUAUUCAUAAUAACUAUCUAUAUUCCAAAACUCUAUCUCAGGUGGAAGCAAAAUCAACGGACUCCCCUUUUUGGAAGGGCUUGAUGAAGGCCAAGUCUUGUUUAUUUAAGAGAGAUUUGUUUGAGGUUGGCAAUAGCCAUUCUACAAGUUUUCGCAAACACACUUGGUUGGGGACAACCUGCUUGCUCUACAAUACCCAUUGUUAA